UACGUAGGGUGCAAGCGUUGUCCGGAAUUAUUGGGCGUAAAGAGCUCGUAGGCGGUUUGUCGCGUCUGCUGUGAAAACCCGAGGCUCAACCUCGGGCCUGCAGUGGGUACGGGCAGACUAGAGUGCGGUAGGGGGGAUUGGAAUUCCUGGUGUAGCGGUGGAAUGCGCAGAUAUCAGGAGGAACACCAAUGGCGAAGGCAGAUCUCUGGGCCGUAACUGACGCUGAGGAGCGAAAGCAUGGGGAGCGAACAGG
rnacentral:rRNA from 1 species